rnacentral:rRNA from 1 species
GACGAACCGUGCGAACGUUAUUCGGAAUCACUGGGCUUAAAGGGCGCGUAGGCGGGCGGUCAAGUCGGAGGUGAAAGCCUGCAGCUCAACUGCAGAAGUGCCCCCGAUACUGAUCACCUCGAGGGAGGUAGGGGCGUGCGGAACUUCCGGUGGAGCGGUGAAAUGCGUAGAUAUCGGAAGGAACACCGGUGGCGAAAGCGGCGCGCUGGACCUCUUCUGACGCUGAGGCGCGAAAGCCAGGGGAGCAAACGGGAUUAGAUACCCCGGUAGUCCUGGCCCUAAACGAUGGGUACUAGGUAGUGGGCUGACAUGGGCUCACUGCCGAAGCAAAAGUGUUAAGUACCCCGCCUGGGGAGUAUGGUCGCAAGGCUGAA